rnacentral:rRNA from 1 species
GGGAAUUUUCGGCAAUGGAGGAAACUCUGACCGAGCAACGCCGCGUGAACGAUGAAGUAUUUCGGUACGUAAAGUUCUUUUAUUAGGGAAGAAUAAAUGAUGGAAAAAUCAUUCUGACGGUACCUAAUGAAUAAGCCCCGGCUAACUAUGUGCCAGCAGCCGCGGUAAUACAUAGGGGGCAAGCGUUAUCCGGAAUUAUUGGGCGUAAAGGGUGCGUAAGCGGUUAAAUAAGUUUAUGGUCUAAGUGCAAUGCUCAACAUUGUGAUGCUAUAAAAACUGUUUAGCUAGAGUAAGAUAGAGGCAAGUGGAAUUCCAUGUGUAGUGGUAAAAUGCGUAAAUAUAUGGAGGAACACCAGUAGCGAAGGCGGCUUGCUGGGUCUUUACUGACGCUGAGGCACGAAAGCGUGGGGAGCAAACAGGAUUAGAUACCCUGGUAGUCCACGCCGUAAACGAUGAGUACUAAACGUUGGGUAAAACCAGUGUUGAAGUUAACACAUUAAGUACUCCGCCUGAGUAGUACGUACGCAAGUAUGAAACUUAAAGGAAUUGACGGGACUCCGCACAAGCGGUGGAUCAUGUUGUUUAAUUCGAAGGUACCCGAAAAACCUCACCAGGUCUUGACAUGCUUCUGCAAAGCUGUAGAAACACAGUGGAGGUUAUCAGUUGCACAGGUGGUGCAUGGUUGUCGUCAGCUCGUGUCGUGAGAUGUUGGGUUAAGUCCCGCAACGAGCGCAACCCUUAUUGUUAGUUACCAGCACGUAAUGGUGGGGACUUUAGCAAGACUGCCAGUGAUGAAUUGGAGGAAGGUGGGGACGACGUCAAAUCAUCAUGCCCCUUAUGACCUGGGCUACAAACGUGAUACAAUGGCUGUUACAAAGGGUAGCUGAAGCGCAAGUUUUUGGCGAAUCUCAAAAAAAC